AAACUGCCUAAGGAAACCUUGCCACGCAGACAUUCGUUUCCUCUGGCUUACCUCUACUCUCUCUCUCUCUCAUUGUUUCUCACUGUUGCUGGUUAAUCGCUUCAGGAGCUAAGGGGGGAAAUGGCGAUGGGGAUAAGGGUGGAGAUAAACAGGUAUUUGGGAAGGAGCAACAAGUCGGUGGCGGAAACGGGAGAUCUAAGUGCCUUUGGGGUCCUGUACCUGUGGGGCGGGAGCGGUGCUCUCUGUGGCUCUUAGUGUGCCCUAAAAUCCUUGUGUUUUGCUGGGAGUGUGCACAGCGCUGGAGGCCUCCUUCAGAUUAACUCAGGAAAUGAUCAGAUUUAGGAUUUUGAUGAUGAAGAAACAUUUAAAAGGGGUGGGGUAUAAUUGAUGAAAAGGGAACAGGCAUAACCAGGUCUCUCGCAGGCCGGAGCGGCUCUCAGAUUUCUUUUGCUUUGGGUUGUUUCCUUUGUGAAUAAUUAUAAUAUGUAACUUUCCUCUUAAGGGAUUUCUUUUUCUUUUUUUCUUACUUUUUUUUUUUUUUUUUUUUGAGACAUAGUUUCGCUCUUGUUGCACAAGCUGGAGUGCAAUAGCACGAUCUCGGCUCACUGCAACCUCCGCCUCCCGGGUUCAAGCGAUUCUCCCGCCUCAGCCUCCCGAGUAGCUGGGAUUACAGGCGCCGGCCACCACACCCGGCUAAUUUUCUGUAUUUUUAGUAGACACGGGGUUUCACCAUGUUAGCCAGGCUGGUCUCGAACUCCUGACCUUAGGGUAUCCGCCCGCCUCGGGCUUCCAAAGUGUUGGGAUUACAAGCGUGAGCCACUGCGCCCGGCCGGGAUUUCUUAGUCUCCCCUUUAAAUCUGUUUUUCAGAGAAGACAUUGUAAAACGUCGGUGCUGGGGGAUGGGAAAGCAUUUCUUAGGAUCCUGCCUGGAAUCCUAAUACCGUAAUUCGGGUUCUGCCUUGAACACUAACCUGAGAUCCCAUUUCCUCAUUUGAAAUAUGGUUGCAAAGAUUAAAAGAUGCAAGCGUUGUCAAAAUACACAUAGAUAAGGAUGAUUCAAGAGAGACCUAGUUAUACUAUUUUUCAUGGUUCUCUUUCACUAUUUUUGCAGUAAGAACAACAAAACACCUCAUCUUGGCUUACAUUUUAAAAUACUUUGGCUUUAGUGUGUUGAUAUUUUUAAACAAAAUGAAAGAAAGGAGUAAAGUACAAAAUAAAACACGUCAAGAAAAGUUGAAAUGAGUACUUCAGAUUUAGUAAGUGAUAAAAAGUGAAGGAUGUUUGGAAUUUCCCAUGUAAAUCCGAGCUUUUAAAACUUAAAGUGGUUUCUGAAAUUUGGGGAUGCUGCAGAUGCGUCAUUUUAAAUAUGUACUCAUUUUUUAUAAUAUUAAACAAUCAAAAUGCCUGGAGGAGACAGUUACCACCAGUUUCUGAAUAUAGACUGAAUAUAGACUACGUAUAUUCAAGUUAUAGAUUAUCUAGCUCCAAAGUAGUAGAUGGGGAUCAGUGGCAAUCUGGUAGUUAAUUCAGUUUCCUAGUUGCAGGCAACCGCCAUCUAGUUCAUCUAAUAACAGUAAACCACCUUGUGUGCCCCAUGUUGAAUUUUAUACAUAAAUGUUCUUUAGUUCACUCUGGGGGAAUUUCAAAAAUUAUCCGUAAUCUUAAUAAAGAUGUAAAUUAGGAUAUUUUAAAAGGUUUUGCAUUGGCCCUUAAUGAGAACCAAAGCGAAAGUGACACGUGGUAAAAGAUAAUAAAAUCCGUCUGUAUAAAAGUUAUAAUUUCCAGUUUGCUAGGUUCUAAAUCUCCUGUUUGUUGUUUCUGUUGGCUCUCCCUCAUGGUGGCUAGUUUCUUCA
rnacentral:lncRNA from 1 species